rnacentral:rRNA from 1 species
GAUGAACGCUGGCGGCGUGCUUAACACAUGCAAGUCGAACGGAAAGGCCCAAGCUUGCUUGGGUACUCGAGUGGCGAACGGGUGAGUAACACGUGGGUGAUCUGCCCUGCACUUCGGGAUAAGCCUGGGAAACUGGGUCUAAUACCGGAUAGGACCACUUCUUGGAUGUUGUGGUGGAAAGUUUUUUCGGUGUGGGAUGAGCUCGCGGCCUAUCAGCUUGUUGGUGGGGUAAUGGCCUACCAAGGCGUCGACGGGUAGCCGGCCUGAGAGGGUGUACGGCCACAUUGGGACUGAGAUACGGCCCAGACUCCUACGGGAGGCAGCAGUGGGGAAGAUUGCACAAUGGGCGCAAGCCUGAUGCAGCGACGCCGCGUGGGGGAGGACGGCCUUCGGGUUGGAAACUCCUUUCGCUAGGGACGAAGCGUUUUGUGACGGUACCUGGAGAAGAAGCACCGGCUAACUACGUG